CACGUAGGGUGCGAGCGUUGUCCGGAAUUAUUGGGCGUAAAGAGCUCGUAGGCGGUGUGUCGCGUCGGCCGUGAAAACCUGCAGCUUAACUGUGGGCUUGCGGUCGAUACGGGCAUCACUGGAGUUCGGCAGGGGAGACUGGAAUUCCUGGUGUAGCGGUGAAAUGCGUAGAUAUCGAGAGGAACACCUGCGGCGAAGGCGGGUUGCUGGGCUGACACUGACGCUGGAAGCGCGAAAGCUAGGGGAGCGAACGGG
rnacentral:rRNA from 1 species